rnacentral:rRNA from 1 species
CUACGGGCGGCUGCAGUGGGGAAUAUUGGACAAUGGGGGAAACCCUGAUCCAGCAAUGCCGCGUGUGUGAAGAAGGCCUGCGGGUUGUAAAGCACUUUCGGUUGGGAGGACUGCUUCUAGCACUAAUAUUGUUGGAAGUUGACGUUACCUUCAGAAGAAGCACCGGCUAACUCCGUGCCAGCAGCCGCGGUAAUACGGAGGGUGCAGGCGUUAAUCGGAAUUACUGGACGUAAAGCGCGCGUAGGCGGCUAGAUCAGUCGGGUGUGAAAGCCCCGGGCUUAACCUGGGAACCGCAUCCGAUACUGUCUAGCUUGAGUACAGGAGAGGAGAGUGGAAUUCCACAUGUAGCGGUGAAAUGCGUAGAUAUGUGGAGGAACACCAAUGGCGAAGGCAGCUCUCUGGCCUGAUACUGACGCUGAGGUGCGAAAGCGUGGGGAGCAAACAGGAUUAGAUACCCCAGUAGUC